AAAAAGACAAACCCUGGGUUUCCGUGUCCAACUUUGACUGUCCGUCUUAUAUGAAAUUUUUUUAUAAUUCGUAUUUUCAUUGUUGUUAGAUGAUAAAACAUGAUUAAUAUUUUAUGUGUGACUUAUCUUUUUAAUUUUUUUCAUAAAUUUUUUAAAUAAGACGGACGUUUGUC
rfam:Oryza nivara chromosome 7, whole genome shotgun sequence.